GGCUCAGGACGAACGCUGGCGGCGUGCCUAACACAUGCAAGUCGAGCGGGGACAUUGCGACGGAGACGAAGUACUCGUACGGAGUCAAAGAUGUAAUGUUCUAGCGGCGGACGGGUGAGUAACGCGUGAGCAACCUGUCCCUUACAGGGGGAUAACACAGCGAAAGUUGUACUAAUACCGCAUAAGACCACAGAGUGACAUCGCUCAGGGGUCAAAGGAGCAAUCCGGUAAGGGGUGGGCUCGCGUCCGAUUAGAUAGUUGGUGAGGUAACGGCCCACCAAGUCGACGAUCGGUAGCCGACCUGAGAGGGUGAUCGGCCACAUUGGGACUGAGACACGGCCCAAACUCCUACGGGAGGCAGCAGUGGGGAAUAUUGGGCAAUGGGGGGAAACCCUGACCCAGCAACGCCGCGUGAGGGAAGAAGGUUUUCGGAUCGUAAACCUCUGUCCCAGGUGAAGAGGAAGAGACGGUAGCCUGGGAGGAAGCCCCGGCUAACUACGUGCCAGCAGCCGC
rnacentral:rRNA from 1 species